AUACAGAGGGUGCGAGCGUUAAUCGGAAUUACUGGGCGUAAAGCGCGCGGAGGCGGCUUAUUAAGUCAGAUGUGAAAUCCCCGGGCUCAACCUGGGAACUGCAUCUGAUACUGGUAAGCUAGAGUUUUGGAGAGGGAAGUAGAAUUUCAGGUGUAGCGGUGAAAUGCAUAGCGAUCCGAAGGAAUACCAGUGGCGAAGGCGACUUCCUGGCCAAAAACUGACGCUGAGGUGCGAAAGCGUGGGUAGCAAACGGGAUUAGAAACCCCAGUAGUCC
rnacentral:rRNA from 1 species